GGUCCCUGUGGAAAUGCUUCAAUCUGUGGUACUCAAACUGUGUGACAUUUUGUUCUUUGUAAGAAGUGCCGCAGAGUUUGUAGUGUUGCCGAUUGAGAAACUGCAGUUGGCCUAAG
rnacentral:precursor_RNA from 7 species